rnacentral:rRNA from 1 species
UACGUAGGGUGCGAGCGUUAAUCGGAAUUACUGGGCGUAAAGCGUGCGCAGGCGGUUCGUUGUGUCGGCGGUGAAAGCCCCGGGCUCAACCUGGGAAUGGCCGUUGAAACUGGCGAACUGGAGUGUGGCAGAGGGGGGUGGAAUUCCGCGUGUAGCAGUGAAAUGCGUAGAGAUGUGGAGGAAUACCGAUGGCGAAGGCAGCCCCCUGGGAUAACACUGACGCUCAUGCACGAAAGCGUGGGGAGCAAACAGG